GAUGAACGCUGGCGGCGUGCCUAAUACAUGCAAGUCGAGCGAACGGACGAGAAGCUUGCUUUUCUGAUGUUAGCGGCGGACGGGUGAGUAACACGUGGAUAACCUACCUAUAAGACUGGGAUAACUUCGGGAAACCGGAGCUAAUACCGGAUAAUAUUUUGAACCGCAUGGUUCAAAAGUGAAAGACGGUCUUGCUGUCACUUAUAGAUGGAUCCGCGCUGCAUUAGCUAGUUGGUAAGGUAACGGCUUACCAAGGCAACGAUGCAUAGCCGACCUGAGAGGGUGAUAGGCCACACUGGAGCUGAGCCACGGUCCAGACUCCUACGGGAGGCAGCAGUAGGGAAUCGUCCGCAAUGGGCGAAAGCCUGACGGAGCAACGCCGCGUGAGUGAUGAAGGUCUUCGGAUCGUAAAACUCUGUUAUUAGGGAAGAACAUAUGUGUAAGUAACUGUGGACAGCUUGACGGUACCUAAUCAGAAAGCCACGGCUAACUACGUG
rnacentral:rRNA from 1 species